rnacentral:rRNA from 1 species
CCUUGGACUAACACAUGCAAGUCGAGCGAAAAGGCCCUUCUGCCUUUUCAAGCGGGGAACGGGUGAGUAACACGUGAGUAAUCUGCCCUGCUCUCUGGGAUAUCCACCGGAAACGGUGAUUAAUACCGGAUAGGACCACUUCUUGCAUGUGAUGGUGGUGGAAAGUUUUUUCUGCGCAUGAUGUGCUCGCGGCCUAUCAUCUUGUUGGUGAGGUAAUGGCUCACCCAGGCUUUGACGGGUAACCGGCCUGACAGGGUGACCGGUCACACUGGGACUGACUACACAGCCCAGACUCCUACGGGAGGCAGCAGUGGGGAAUAUUGUACAAUGGGGGGAAGCCUGAUCCAUGCAACGCCGCGUGAGGGAUGACGGCCUUCUGGUUGUAAACCUCUUUCUGUACCGACGAAGAGAAAGUGACGGUAGGUACUGAAGAAGGACCGGCCAACUACUUGCCAGCAGCCGCGGUAAUACGUAGGGUCCGAGCGUUGUCCGGAAUUAUUGGGCGUAAAGGGCUCGUAGGCGGUUUGUCGCGUCGGGAGUGAAAACACCGGGCUUAUCUCGUUGCUUGCUUUCGAUACGGGCAGACUACAGGUAUGCUGGGGAGAAUGGAAUUCCUGGUGUAGCGGUGAAAUGCUCAGAUAUCAUGAGGAACACCGGUGGCGAAGGCGGUUCUCUGGUCAUUACCUGACGCUGAUGAGCGAAAGUGUGGUGAGCGAACAGGAUUAUAUACUCUGGUAGUCCACACCGUAGACGUUGGGCGCUAGGUGUGGUGCCUAUUCCAUGGGUUCCGUGCCGU